UCACCUUUCUGGAUGUAAAAUGUAUUCCUAAUCUCUCGCCUCUACCCUGGCAACCCACACUCCUCCUUACUGCUUCCCUAAUUCCCAGAUAACACCCAAAUACAGCCUUCCUUCUCUGCCCUCUCCUUGCCUCCCUGAACCAGAACACCUGUCUCUUAAACUUAACCAUGGUCCCACACUCCUCUCCAAAUACUCCCCGCCAUGACCUACACACCCGCUCUAGGUGCUGAGAAAAUGGGACUUGGUUACAUACAGUGGCUGCAGUGAGGAAAGAAAGGGGUUCGUGCCAUGGAAACCAGCAGGCAAGAGAAGGAACAUGGGCCUCCAAGACACAGGAGGUUCAGGACCCAGCGUGAGAGCAAGGACACACAGCCUUCCAGAGGAGACUCCCAGUGAGGCCACCCCGCACUGGGGGAUUUCAAGCCAUCUGGGAAAGAUCUGGGGAAAGAUAAGGUGACUAUUCCAGCCACCUCCAGUCAUGGAGAGGCAGGCAGGUGUAUGCAGAAAGACAGAGGACAA
rnacentral:lncRNA from 1 species